rnacentral:rRNA from 1 species
UACGUAGGCAGCAAGCGUUGUUCGGAGUUACUGGGCGUAAAGGGUGUGUAGGCGGUUGGUUAAGUUUGGUGUGAAAUCUCCCGGCUCAACCGGGAGGGUGCGCCGAAUACUGAGUGACUAGAGUGCGGGAGAGGAAAGUGGAAUUCCUGGUGUAGCGGUGAAAUGCGUAGAUAUCAGGAGGAACACCGGUGGUGUAGACGGCUUUCUGGACCGUAACUGACGCUGAGACACGAAAGCGUGGGUAGCAAACAGG